rnacentral:rRNA from 1 species
CCUACGGUGGGCAGCAGUGAGGAAUAUUGGUCAAUGGACGAGAGUCUGAACCAGCCAAGUAGCGUGAAGGAUGACUGCCCUAUGGGUUGUAAACUUCUUUUAUAUGGGAAUAAAAUGUUCCACGUGUGGGAUUUUGUAUGUACCAUAUGAAUAAGGAUCGGCUAACUCCGUGCUAGCAGCCGCGGUAAUACGGAGGAUCCGAGCGUUAUCCGGAUUUAGUGGGUUUAAAGGGAGCGUAGGUGGAUUGUUAAGUCAGUUGUGAAAGUUUGCGGCUCAACCGUAAAAUUGCAGUUGAAACUGGCAGUCUUGAGUACAGUAGAGGUGGGCGGAAUUCGUGGUGUAGCGGUGAAAUGCUUAGAUAUCACGAAGAACUCUGAUUGCGAAGGCAGUUCACUGGACUGCAACUGACACUGAGGCUCGAAAGUGUGGGUAUCAAACAGGAUUAGAUACCCCAGUAGUC